AAAAAGCCCACUGGAAACAGCAUUAACAGGUAGGCUGCUGGUUUUCAGUCAGGAUUUAAAAACAGGGAAAGGGUAUUGCUUCCUUUGGGACCAUGCUGACAUACCACAACCAGAGAAAUGAAAUGAUGCCUCUGCUCUCAACAAAAUGAAAUGCCCAACACUGUCAGCUGUGUAGUAAUGCUGGUUAGAGCUGAAGACAACUUUCAGCCACAAGACUUUCUAGGGUAUUUUUCAUUCUGCCUUUCUUCAGAGGAAGUUGUACGUACUGAAUAUCUAUCAGACUGAGUUCCUGCAUGUUGACAUGAGUCCUCUCUGCAUGACUAGCAGAAGGAGUGACUGGAAGUACCCUUGCCUUAUGCCUGCUGACCUGAAAAAGUUAUUGUUUUAGGACCAUAAAUAUUGUGUAAACGAGGCAAGUGGCUUCAUCACAGAAGGAAGUUCUACAAAGCCAAGAAGUUACAGCCCUAGUGGGGCCAUUUUGGAGCUGGUUGAAGCUUCCUACACCUCCUUCUUCCAAGUGACGCACUGGACUGCAACUUCCUACACAGUUCUUACCCUGGCCAAAAAGCAGGAAUGAAGUGAAAAGUUAGAAUUGCAAAGAUAUAAUGUCAUCAAGAGAAGUGAUCGUCUCCCUUUUUUUUUAAGUUGGGUAACAGAAGCAGCAUCCUGAACAUGGACUAGAAGUGAUUGUGAGCUGGACUACAAAAAAAUCUGAUAGCUCAGUUAGUGUUUAUUUCCAGAUAUCUGACUAUUAUUGCAUUUUUUAGUCAUUUAUCUUUUUCUUUUCCAAGAUGUGACUCACUGAAGUAUGUUUCCUAGCUGCACUGCAAUCUUUGUGGUACAAAACAGAAACAGAAUAUGUCUGGAUUUUAUUUCAAACUUCAUGUCAUAAACUUUGUGCAAAGACUCCGUGUAAACACCCUAAUUGAGUUAGCAUUUGAACUUACCAUAGAUUCAUCCUUUAAUAAAUUUAAGGUCUUACAGAUGCCAAAAAACCAGUCUGUUUCAUUUAGUACAGUGAAGUCUGGGUAGAAAUAAAUAAAUGCUAACGUUUUUAAAGGUUUGUAUUCAUAGAAUAUGGUGAACGGUGUCCCAACAAAAGAUGUGAAAGCUGUUGUAUAAUCUGUCCCUAUCACAUUAUGAAGAGCACUUCUGCCUUUUGUCAGGAAGCACUUGUUGUAGUGUGACGCUUCGGCUACAUUUAUAAUAGGAAACUACCUGAGUAUCUAGUAACAGGGUGUUCUGGUUUAAAUGCAGAAUUUUCUUCACUUUGAAGGGUGGAUUGUCACAUUGAUACGUUUGUGAAUUGCACUGGCAUCUGAUGGAGGAUCUAGCUUGGAAUAUAAAGCUCUUUAGUUUCAGAGGUAUACAUUUAAAGUACUAUAAAGAAGAACUGAUUC